CUGACAGUCAUUUAGCAAUUUAGUGUUGGCUAAGAAUUUUGGCUCUGGAAUCAGACUAUGACAUCAAAUUCUAAUUCUCUCUCUUAAUAGCUUCAUGCCCUUGGGAAAAUUAUGUAAGCUCUCUGUGACAAGUUUCCUUUACUUAUAAAAUGGCAAUGAUAGUCACCCUCAUAGGAUUGUUGUGAUGAUUAAAUGAAAACACAGUGUGGAGUUCUUGAUGAAUAUUUACCUCUCGAUAAUUUAAACUGCUGUUAUUUUCCAUUAUCUCAUUGGAUCUUGACAGUAACUGUGAGAUAGACAUGGUUCCAAUAUCUUCCCCAUGAGUAUCCUCUGGCCACACUGAAGUGGUUCCCGAACAUAUCAUAUACAUUUGCCCUAGGACUUCAUCAUGCCUGGUGUACUCUCCAUCCUUCCUCUCUGUUGUGAACUUCCUUCUGCUUUUGAAGCCUAACCAACCAGCAAGAUCUCAAGG
rnacentral:lncRNA from 1 species